rnacentral:rRNA from 1 species
AACGAACGCUGGCGGCAGGCCUAACACAUGCAAGUCGAACGCCCUAGCAAUAGGGAGUGGCAGACGGGUGAGUAACACGUGGGAACGUGCCUUUCGGUUCGGAAUAACCCAGGGAAACUUGGACCAAUACCGGAUACGUGCGAGAGCAGAAAGAUUUAUCGCCGAAAGAUCGGCCCGCGUCCGAUUAGCUAGUUGGUGAGGUAACGGCUCACCAAGGCGACGAUCGGUAGCUGGUCNGAGAGGAUGAUCAGCCACACUGGGACUGAGACACGGCCCAGACUCCUACGGGAGGCAGCAGUGGGGAAUCUUGCGCAAUGGGCGAAAGCCUGACGCAGCGACGCCGUGUGCGGGAAGAAGGCC